CUAGUACUCCCUCCCUUCGGAAUUACUUGUCUCGGAAAUGGGUGUAUCUAGAUCUAGAUACACCCAUUUCCGAGACAAGUAAUUCCGAACGGAGGGAGUACAUC
rfam:Triticum aestivum genome assembly, contig: Triticum_aestivum_CS42_TGACv1_scaffold_423474_5BS